AAGAGGUGUUUAGAACAACAAGAACUGCUAAUUCUUAGUACUGAAGUUUAA
rnacentral:tRNA from 1 species